rnacentral:lncRNA from 1 species
AAGAGAGUAGUGAGAACCCUAAGGCCUCUGGUAUUUUUUAAUUCACAGAAGUCUCAAUGUGUUCCAAGCAGUGCUUGUACUGUAGGAGGCUUUUUGAAUUGUACCAAAGAGAGAUGACUGUAGGAGGCUUUUUGAAUUGUACCAAAGUCGCAUUGGCUUUUAGCUGGCCAGGAACACGAUCAACAACACUAGUAUUUAGAGAAUCGGAAUAAAAUAGGAUCAAGAUAGGUGAGAGAGAUGAUGACUAAAAGUAUGUCUAGGGGAAUAGGAGAAAAGGGUUUAUGUGUACUCAAUUCACACAAUAAAAAAGGAAAAUAAUUAAACAAAGCACACAUAUGAGGAAACAAUUUCAUGCAAAUCAAUU